rnacentral:rRNA from 1 species
CCUACGGGAGGCUGCAGUGGGGAAUAUUGGACAAUGGGCGAAAGCCUGAUCCAGCCAUGUCGCGUGUGUGAAGAAGGCCUUCGGGUUGUAAAGCACUUUCAGUGGGGAAGAAAGCCUUGGGGCUAAUACCCUCGAGGAAGGACAUCACCCACAGAAGAAGCACCGGCUAACUCCGUGCCAGCAGCCGCGGUAAUACGGAGGGUGCGAGCGUUAAUCGGAAUUACUGGGCGUAAAGCGCGCGUAGGCGGUCUGAUAAGCCGGUUGUGAAAGCCCCGGGCUCAACCUGGGAACGGCAUCCGGAACUGUCAGGCUAGAGUGCAGGAGAGGAAGGUAGAAUUCCCGGUGUAGCGGUGAAAUGCGUAGAGAUCGGGAGGAAUACCAGUGGCGAAGGCGGCCUUCUGGACUGACACUGACGCUGAGGUGCGAAAGCGUGGGUAGCAAACAGGAUUAGAUACCCCAGUAGUC